rnacentral:rRNA from 1 species
GUUGUAUGGUCAAGUAAUGAAGUGCACAUGGUGGAUGCCUUGGCAGUCAGAGGCGAUGAAAGACGUGAUAGCCUGCGAUAAGCGUCGGUGAGGUGGCAAUAUCCUGUGACCCGGCGAUUUCUGAAUGGGGAAACCCAGCCAACAUAAGUUGGCUAUCCUAACCUUUGGUUAGGAGGCAAACCGGGAGAAGUGAAACAUCUCAGUACCCCGAGGAAAAGACAUCAAUAGAGAUUCCCCAAGUAGCGGCGAGCGAACGGGGAGGAGCCGAUCAAACUUGUAGUAGCAAAAUGGCGUGGGAAAGCCAACCAUAGUAGGUGAUAGUCCUGUAUGCGAAACUGCAAAUGCGACAUAUUAAGUAGGGCGAGACACGUGAAAUCUUGUCUGAAGAUGGGGGGACCAUCCUCCAAGGCUAAAUACUCCUGACUGACCGAUAGUGAACCAGUACCGUGAGGGAAAGGCGAAAAGAACCCCUGUUAGGGGAGUGAAAUAGAACCUGAAACCGUGUGCAUACAAGCAGUCGGAGCCCGACCACUUAAUCGCUUUGAGGAUAACAAUGAACUUUUAUUAUGUAUAUGUUCUACAAAACAUCAAUAAUCAAAAUGACUUUUAUGUUGGGUUUACUUCCAACUUAAAGCAGAGAAUUGAAGCACAUAAUACAGGUCAAACUACCGCAACUCGUGGUAGGACUUGGAAAAUCGUUUAUUGUGAAGCCUAUAUAAGUGAGAAAGUGGCAAGAAAGCGAGAACACGCCACAAAAAAUAAUGGCAAAGUGCGAACUUUCUUAAUGAACCGCAUUAAAUCACAGUUUGAGUCAUCAUAAAAUGACAAAGUAUCGUAAAUAAGCUAAGUCGGGCUUGCCCGAUCACUUAAUUACGAUGCGAAGCAGAGUGAUUAAGUGGUCGGGUGACGGCGUACCUUUUGUAUAAUGGGUCAGCGACUUAUAUUCUGUAGCAAGGUUAACCGUUUAGGGGAGCCGUAGGGAAACCGAGUCUUAAUAGGGCGAUUAAGUUGCAGGGUAUAGACCCGAAACCGAGUGAUCUAUCCAUGAGCAGGUUGAAAGUGCCGUAACAGGCACCGGAGGACCGAACCCACUGUCGUUGAAAAGCCAGGGGAUGACUUGUGGAUAGGGGUGAAAGGCUAAUCAAACUCGGUGAUAGCUGGUUCUCCCCGAAAGCUAUUUAGGUAGCGCCUCGGACGAAUACCAUUGGGGGUAGAGCACUGUUUCGGCUAGGGGGUCAUCCCGACUUACCAAACCGAUGCAAACUCCGAAUACCGAUGAGUACUAUCCGGGAGACAGACGGCGGGUGCUAACGUUCGUCGUCAAGAGGGAAACAACCCAGACCGCCAGCUAAGGCCCCAAAUUCCUAGUUAAGUGGGAAACGAUGUGGGAAGGCACAGACAGCUAGGAGGUUGGCUUAGAAGCAGCCACCCUUUAAAGAAAGCGUAAUAGCUCACUAGUCGAGUCGGCCUGCGCGGAAGAUGUAACGGGGCUCAAACUAGGAGCCGAAGCUGCGGAUUUAAUUGUUUCAAUUAAGUGGUAGGGGAGCGUUGUGUAAGCCUGUGAAGGUGUGUUGUAAAGCAUGCUGGAGGUAUCACAAGAGCGAAUGCUGACGUGAGUAACGACAAAACGGGUGAAAAGCCCGUUCGCCGGAAGACCAAGGGUUCCAGUCCAACGUUAAUCGAGGCUGGGUGAGUCGACCCCUAAGGCGAGGCCGAAAGGCGUAGUCGAUGGGAAAUUGGUUAAUAUUCCAAUACUUGUUUAUGAUGCGAUGGAGGGACGGAGAAGGUUAUGUCAGCCUGGCGUUGGUUGUCCAGGUGAAAGGAUGUAGGUAGGUUUAGUAGGCAAAUCCGCUAGACUAUUACUGAGAUCUGAUAGCAAGCCAGUUUACUGGCAAAGUGGCAAAUACCAUGCUUCCAGGAAAAGCUUCUAAGCGAUAGUCAUAAACAAAUCGUACCCGAAACCGACACAGGUGGUCAGGUAGAGAAUAUCAAGGCGCUUGAGAGAACUCUGCUGAAGGAACUAGGCAAAAUGGUACCGUAACUUCGGGAGAAGGUACGCUGCCGAUGGUGAUAAGACUUGCUCUUUGAGCUGUUGGCAGUCGCAGAUACCAGGCUGCUGCAACUGUUUAUUAAAAACACAGCACUCUGCAAACACGAAAGUGGACGUAUAGGGUGUGAUGCCUGCCCGGUGCUGGAAGGUUAAUUGAUGGGGUUAGCGUAUGCGAAGCUCUUGAUCGAAGCCCCAGUAAACGGCGGCCGUAACUAUAACGGUCCUAAGGUAGCGAAAUUCCUUGUCGGGUAAGUUCCGACCUGCACGAAUGGCAUAAUGAUGGCAGCGCUGUCUCCAGCAGAGACUCAGUGAAAUCGAAAUCGCAGUGAAGAUGCUGUGUACCCGCGGCUAGACGGAAAGACCCCGUGAACCUUUACUACAGCUUUACAUUGAACUUUGACCUAACUUGUGUAGGAUAGGUGGGAGGCUUUGAAGUGGCGACGCCAGUUGCCAUGGAGCCAUCCUUGAAAUACCACCCUGGUUAUGUUGGGGUUCUAACUUAGAUGUAACAACAUCAAGGACAAUGUAUGGUGGGUAGUUUGACUGGGGCGGUCUCCUCCUAAAGAGUAACGGAGGAGUACGAAGGUGCGCUCAGAACGGUCGGAAAUCGUUCAAAGAGUAUAAAGGCAAAAGCGCGCUUAACUGCGAGACCCACAAGUCGAGCAGGUACGAAAGUAGGUCUUAGUGAUCCGGUGGUUCUGUAUGGAAGGGCCAUCGCUCAACGGAUAAAAGGUACUCUGGGGAUAACAGGCUGAUACCGCCCAAGAGUUCAUAUCGACGGCGGUGUUUGGCACCUCGAUGUCGGCUCAUCUCAUCCUGGGGCUGAAGCAGGUCCCAAGGGUAUGGCUGUUCGCCAUUUAAAGAGGUACGCGAGCUGGGUUUAGAACGUCGUGAGACAGUUCGGUCCCUAUCUACCGUGGGCGUUGGAAAUUUGAGAGGAUCUGCUCCUAGUACGAGAGGACCAGAGUGGACGAACCUCUGGUGUUCCGGUUGUGACGCCAGUCGCAUUGCCGGGUAGCUAUGUUCGGAUGGGAUAACCGCUGAAAGCAUCUAAGCGGGAAGCCCACCUCAAGAUAAGAUUUCCCUAAAGAGCCGUUGUAGACUACGACGUUGAUAGGUUGGGUGUGGAAGCAUGGUGACAUGUGUAGCUAACCAAUACUAAUUGCUCGUUUGGCUUGACCAUACAACACCCAAG